rnacentral:rRNA from 1 species
GAUCUGGCUCAGGAUGAACGCUAGCUACAGGCUUAACACAUGCAAGUCGAGGGGCAUCAGGAAGAAAGCUUGCUUUCUUUGCUGGCGACCGGCGCACGGGUGAGUAACACGUAUCCAACCUACCCUUUACUCGGGGAUAGCCUUUCGAAAGAAAGAUUAAUACCCGAUGGCAUAAUGAUUCCGCAUGGUUUCAUUAUUAAAGGAUUCCGGUAAAGGAUGGGGAUGCGUUCCAUUAGGUUGUUGGUGAGGUAACGG